GAUGAACGCUGGCGGCGUGCCUAAUACAUGCAAGUCGAGCGAAUGGAUUAAGAGCUUGCUCUUAUGAAGUUAGCGGCGGACGGGUGAGUAACACGUGGGUAACCUGCCCAUAAGACUGGGAUAACUCCGGGAAACCGGGGCUAAUACCGGAUAACAUUUUGAACCGCAUGGUUCGAAAUUGAAAGGCGGCUUCGGCUGUCACUUAUGGAUGGACCCGCGUCGCAUUAGCUAGUUGGUGAGGUAACGGCUCACCAAGGCAACGAUGCGUAGCCGACCUGCGAGGGUGAUCGGACACACUGGGACUGAGACACGGCCCAGACUCCGACGGGAGGCAGCAGUAGGGAAUCUUCCGCGAUGGACGAAAGUCUGACGGAGCGACGCCGCGUGAGUGAUGAAGGCUUUCGGGUCGUAAAACUCUGUUGUUAGGGAAGAACAAGUGCUAGUUGAAUAAGCUGACACCUUGACGGUACCUAACCAGAAAGCCACGGCUAACUACGUGCCAGCCGCCGCCGUAA
rnacentral:rRNA from 1 species